rnacentral:rRNA from 1 species
AUUGAACGCUAGCGGGAGGCCUUACACAUGCAAGUCGAACGAGUGGCGGACGGGUGAGUAAUGUAUCGGAAACUGCCCAGUAGCGGGGGAUAACUACUCGAAACAGUAGCUAAUACCGCAUACCAUCGGAUCUGCCCAGAUGGGAUUAGCUGGUUGGUGGGGUAACGGCUCACCAAGGCGACGAUCCGUAGCUGGUCUGAGAGGAUGACCAGCCACACUGGAACGGAGACACGGUCCAGACUCCUACGGGAGGCAGCAGUGGGGAAGAUUGGACAAGGGGCGAAAGCCUGAUGCAGCCAUGCCGCGUGUAUGAAGAAGGCCUUCGGGUUGUAAAGUACUUUCAGCGGAGAGGCGUUACCUGCAGAAGAAGCACCGGCUAACUACGUGCCAGCAGCCGCGGUAAUUC